UGCACUCACUACUGUAAGUCACUCUGGAUAAGAGUGUCUGCUAAAUGAAUAAAA
rfam:Salmo salar isolate Sally breed double haploid chromosome ssa29, whole genome shotgun sequence.